rnacentral:tRNA from 1 species
GGACCUAUAGCUCAGCUGGUUAGAGCGCUACGUUGACAUCGUAGAGGUCACUGGUUCGAAUCCAGUUAGGUCCACCA